rnacentral:rRNA from 1 species
GACGAACGCUGGCGGCGUGCCUAAUACAUGCAAGUAGAACGCUGAAGAGAGGAGCUUGCUCUUCUUGGAUGAGUUGCGAACGGGUGAGUAACGCGUAGGUAACCUGCCUUGUAGCGGGGGAUAACUAUUGGAAACGAUAGCUAAUACCGCAUAACAAUGGAUGACCCAUGUCAUUUAUUUGAAAGGGGCAAAUGCUCCACUACAAGAUGGACCUGCGUUGUAUUAGCUAGUAGGUGAGGUAACGGCUCACCUAGGCGACGAUACAUAGCCGACCUGAAAGGGUGAUCGGCCACACUGGGACUGAGACACGGCCCAGACUCCUACGGGAGGCAGCAGUAGGGAAUCUUCGGCAAUGGGGGCAACCCUGACCGAGCAACGCCGCGUGAGUGAAGAAGGUUUUCGGAUCGUAAAGCUCUGUUGUAAGUCAAGAACGAGUGUGAGAGUGGAAAGUUCACACUGUGACGGUAGCUUACCAGAAAGGGACGGCUAACUACGUGCCAGCAGCCGCGGUAAUACGUAGGUCCCGAGCGUUGUCCGGAUUUAUUGGGCGUAAAGCGAGCGCAGGCGGUUUGAUAAGUCUGAAGUUAAAGGCUGUGGCUCAACCAUAGUUCGCUUUGGAAACUGUCAAACUUGAGUGCAGAAGGGGAGAGUGGAAUUCCAUGUGUAGCGGUGAAAUGCGUAGAUAUAUGGAGGAACACCGGUGGCGAAAGCGGCUCUCUGGUCUGUAACUGACGCUGAGGCUCGAAAGCGUGGGGAGCGAACAGGAUUAGAUACCCUGGUAGUCCACGCCGUAAACGAUGAGUGCUAGGUGUUGGAUCCUUUCCGGGAUUCAGUGCCGCAGCUAACGCAUUAAGCACUCCGCCUGGGGAGUACGACCGCAAGGUUGAAACUCAAAGGAAUUGACGGGGGCCCGCACAAGCGGUGGAGCAUGUGGUUUAAUUCGAAGCAACGCGAAGAACCUUACCAGGUCUUGACAUCCCGAUGCUAUUUCUAGAGAUAGAAAGUUACUUCGGUACAUCGGUGACAGGUGGUGCAUGGUUGUCGUCAGCUCGUGUCGUGAGAUGUUGGGUUAAGUCCCGCAACGAGCGCAACCCCUAUUGUUAGUUGCCAUCAUUCAGUUGGGCACUCUAGCGAGACUGCCGGUAAUAAACCGGAGGAAGGUGGGGAUGACGUCAAAUCAUCAUGCCCCUUAUGACCUGGGCUACACACGUGCUACAAUGGUUGGUACAACGAGUUGCGAGUCGGUGACGGCAAGCUAAUCUCUUAAAGCCAAUCUCAGUUCGGAUUGUAGGCUGCAACUCGCCUACAUGAAGUCGGAAUCGCUAGUAAUCGCGGAUCAGCACGCCGCGGUGAAUACGUUCCCGGGCCUUGUACACACCGCCCGUCACACCACGAGAGUUUGUAACACCCGAAGUCGGUGAGGUAACCUUUUGGAGCCAGCCGCCUAAGGUGGGAU